ACACACACACCGUCCCGCUCCACACGCACACACACACACACACACACACAGCCCGUCCUGCGCCCGAGGUCUCGCCCGCAGCCCGGCGGCUUGGGGUCAGCUGCCGCCUGCGGUCCAGGGCAGGGUCCGUUCCGCUGCCCGGCGCCUAAGCCGGGGCUCCCGGCCCGCAGGGUCGGCGCGAGGGGCAGGAGCCCCCCAAGCUCGUCCAGAGUCUGCGGGCAGCGCACAUCCAGACGUCCUCCUGCUCCUCCUGAUGCCCCGGCCUCCACGGAGGGCGGAUGGCUCCAGCCCAGCCUGCCGGUCUCCACCUCCCACUCCCCUGAAGCACCGGGAGCUCCCUGGACCGUGAACCUGUCCUGGCAGGAGUGGUCCCUGACUGCUGGGGUCCCUGCCCCCGCUGCUGUCAUGUGGAAAGGAUUCAGGGAGCAGGCGCGGCUCGGACCGAAGUGUGGGGGCCAGCGCUGCCUGCUCCCAGCCACAGCUGCACACCCAGGUCACGGAUGUGUCGGGAACAGCUGUGACUCCCGCUGCUCAGCGUCCAUCACUCCAGGCUGGGCCCUGUCCGUCUCCACUUCCAGUGGGGGAGGCAGGGGUUGCUCUCUGACAGUGGGCAGAGGGUCCUUCUGCAGCCCCAAAACAUCCCAGGCAGGGGCCCUGGGGCUCCAAGCAGCCAAGGAGAGCUGAGCACCAAGGGGCUCCCAGCAGGUGUCAGCCUCAUCUCCGCUGAGGGACGCCGAGCCUGGUGUGGGGUUGGAGACCUGGAGUCCAACGGUGCCUUCCCGGGACACUUAAGUUCGCUGCAGUAAAUCCCGUAGGCUCGAUGUGGGUUUCUGUGCCCUGCGUGGCAGGGUGCCAUCUGACACCAGACACCCGAACCGUGUGACGCCAGGCCCUGGCUCCCCUGCACCCCAGCCCCCAGCGCAUCCAUCGCCGGCCCAGGCACUGGGGGCUGAGCUCCGUUGAGAAGGGAUGAGGCCUGGGGCACUGUCUCAGCCCGCCAGCAGGAGAGGACCGACUCCGGAAAAUUAGCCUCUGUGCCCACAUAGGCUGCGAGACCUGUGCCUGUCCAUCCAAGCUCAACCUUCGGGCUUCUCGAGGCUCCUUGCCCAGAAUGUCCGCAUUUGAAACACAGAGCCCCACUUCAAGAAUAACCAGGAGGGAACAUGGUGGCUUCACAUAAGCGUGCCACGAAGAAAAACCCGUUUCUCAAGAUGGGCUCUGGCCGCUCAGACCCUCACCUCCCCUGCCAGGAUGGAAUGUUCCAGAGUCCCAUUAGUGCCAAAGGCAAAUUAAAACACACCCUGUAAAAAUGUC